rnacentral:misc_RNA from 1 species
GCAAACUUGGUCAUUUAGAGGAAGUAAAAGUCGUAACAAGGUUUCCGUAGGUGAACCUGCGGAAGGAUCAUUACCGAGUAGGGCUCCGGCCCGACCUCCAACCCUUUGUUUACAUACCAACGUUGCUUCGGCAGGCCCGCCGACCUUUGCUCGCAGAGGGAGGCCGCCGGCGGUUCGCCUCUGGCCCGCGCCUGUCGACGCCCCCCAAACUCAUGCCAAACGUGUCGUCUGAGUAACAAACAAUAAACAAAACUUUCAACAACGGAUCUCUUGGUUCUGGCAUCGAUGAAGAACGCAGC